GGGAAGAGAGGCUGUCCCCAGGGAAGAUGUUCUGACUCCGGUCUUUGUCAGGGAGCCCAGGAGAGGCUUCCCUGGGACGACAUCUUCCCUGAUGGGGACAGGCCCACCUGUGUCUUCUGCUGGCCUGUCUGUGCAGGGAGGUGGCUGUGGGGUGACGGCUGGAACAAGAGGACCCAGAGGUCAAGGAUGGACUGUCAGACACGAGGACAACACCUGUGGCUGUGACAGAAAGUCACAGGCCUGUCGGGGAUUUCUCCUUUGUGGGUGCGAUACUAUAUCAGCUUAGCUCUGUUCGGGGUCCUAUUGAUACCUAUACAUAUAGUGCAGAUGACAACCAUA